ensembl:lncRNA
CGGGGAUUGGUCAUAGAAUGUUCUGGAGUGGCCUAUUAAGUCUCCAGAUUUAAAUCUCCAAAAAAUAUUUGGUUGAAUUUGAAUAGAGCUGUGGCAAUGUGAAAACCAAAAAUCAUCAGUGAUCUGUAAGCUUUUUCAGGCGAGGAAUGGGCUAAGAUUGCAGUAGAGAGGUGACAGAAGCUUCUAAGCACUUACAGGCCGUGUUUAUUAGAGGUUAUAAAGAAUAAAAUAUUUUAACUUUACAUUCUCAGAAUCACUCAAAUGUGUAUUAAUAAACUUUCUCUAAUAUAGUUUACCAAUGGCUUUAUUAAAUUGUUUUCAUAAAAUUUUGUUCUCGGCAGGUCAAGGGGGUUGGAUAAAUUUGAUUGCAACUGCAUAAUUACAGUAUGUAUAAUCCAAUUAACAUUGUUUCAGUGGACUUCUGGUGGCCUUGGAUGAUCAUAGCUGGAGCAGCAGUUGGAGGAGCAGUGCUACUUGCGCUCAUCAUUAUCGCAAUGAAAGUUUUUAAACGUCAAACAGUUGAUGAAGUAACCUAUGCAUCAGUUAUCCAUAGGUCACACAACUCCAAUGAGAGCAAUGGUAAUCUUUUAAAAUUACUCCAAUACCCUUUGUUUCUUUUGACAUGCAUCUCAUGUACCUUCCGUCUCUUUCACUAGAUCUUGUGCAUAAUAACCUCAUUAACUGCUCUACUGAGGACUAGGGUCGUGUCAGCUCAGAUACUGUCUUAUAUGCAACCGUCAAAGAGAGGACAUGAAAAGAACAACACAACAUCACAAUUAUUAAAAUUUCAGAUAAAAGUUGAACUGAAUCAGCCUGUUUUGUUCUACAGAUUUCUCUAUGCAUUACUGUUUAAUAUUGCAACACCUAGAUCUAAAAGGGUGAAUCAAACACUGGGGCUGCACAGGGAAAGGAGAAUUAAAGUUAUGCAACCUAUUGGCCUCAAAUUACACUUUUAUAUACAGAUUGUGGAAACAUAUGGAAAAACCUGACUGUAAUCAGAGAGUGAUCAGAGAGACUGAGAGUGCAUUCUCAUCAAUGCUAACAGACAGGUUGCAUGCAGUAUCAAGAUGAAGGUACAGAAUUUCUGUUUUAAAGUAUUGUUGGCUCAGCUGCAUUGAAUAGAGACUGUCUAGUAUGUAGUGUCUAAGAUGCAACCGCAUUACUUGAAUUAUCACCUACACCAUAAAUAGACAUGACCACAGAUGCAGUAGAAGCAAGAGUCAUAUCCUGUGCUUGUCUGUAUGUAUUAUGUUGACUCUUCUGUUCCGGUCCUGUUUCUACUCAUCAUUCCUAUUUUGUCUUUUUAGUUCAUUACCCUCUUUUGUAUAUAUAGCCCUCAAACUUUGGCAGGUCUUGGUUUGCGAGCAGUUAUGUUAGGGUUUUCAGUUGCACUCACUGUUUAUAGUGUUUUAGUUCUGUUCCUUGUUUUGUAGUGUUUUGUUUGUUGUGGUUAUCCUUAUUAAAAGUUCAUUUACAUUUGGAUUCUGUCUCUCAUCACCUCUGACUUCACCUACAUCACCUUUUUUCAUUGUAUAUCUAGACUGAAAAAUUUGUAGAACUGUAGAACAUGAUAGCUUUGUGAAACUACUGCAUUAAAGGGUUAGUUAAGCCAAAAAUGAAAAUUACACCAUGUUUUACUCACCCUUGUGGCAUCCUAGGUGUAUAUGACUUUCUUCUUUCAGACGAAUCCAAUCUGAGUUUUAUUAAAAAAUUGUCCUGGUUCUUCCAAGCAUUAGAAUGGGGAUAGGCAGGUGUUUUUGUUCAACAGUCCAAAAGUAGUUAAAUAAAGCACAUCCAUCCAUAUUAAAAAGUGCCUCA